rnacentral:rRNA from 1 species
UACGAGGGGGGCGAGCGUUGUUCGGAAUUAUUGGGCGUAAAGGGCGCGUAGGCGGUUGGAUAAGUCUUGUGUGAAAUCUUCGGGCUCAACCUCGAGACGCCGAUGGAAACCCUCCAGCUAGAGUCCUAGAGAGGGUCGUGGAAUUCCCGGUGUAGCGGUGAAAUGCGUAGAGAUCGGGAGGAACACCAGAGGCGAAGGCGGCGACCUGGAUAGGUACUGACACUCAACUACGAAAGCGUGGGGAGCAAACAGG